rnacentral:tRNA from 1 species
GCAUCUGUAGCUCAGUGGUUAGGGCUCUGGUCACAUAUACCAGGGGUGGCCAGUUCAAACCUGGCCAGGCCUG